UACGAAGGGGGGCUAGCGUUGCUCGGAAUGACUGGGCGUAAAGGGGCGCGUAGGCGGUGAACACAGUUAGGCGUGAAAAUUCCCGGGCUCAACCUGGGGGGCUGCGUUUUAAUACAUGUUCGCUUUGAGUUCGGAAGAGGGUCGUGGAAUUCCCAGUGUAGAGGUGAAAUUCGUAGAUAUUGGGAAGAACACCGGUGGCGAAGGCGGCGACCUGGUCCGAUACUGACGCUGAGGCGCGAAAAGCGUGGGGGAGCAAACAGG
rnacentral:rRNA from 1 species